UUUUUUUUAAGGUUUGACCUGCCCACUGAUGUAUUAAAUGGCCGCAGUAUAUUAACUGUGCAAAGGUAGCAUAAUCAUUAGUCUUUUAAUUGGGGGCUAGAAUGAAUGGUUGGACGAGAUAUUGGCUGUUUCAUAUAAAUUUAAGAUAGAAUUUUAUUUUUUAGUAAAAAAGCUAAAAUAUUCUUAAAAGACGAGAAGACCCUAUAAAUCUUUAUAUUUAGGUUUUUAUAAUUAUAUAGAAAUUUUUAGUUAUAAUUAUUAGUAAUAUUUUAUUGGGGUGAUAUUAAAAUUUAAUUAACUUUUAAAUUGAAAGAAUCAUUAAUUUAUGAGGAAUUGAUCCGUUAAUAGCGAUUAAUAAUUUAAGUUACUUUAGGGAUAACAGCGUAAUUUUU
rnacentral:rRNA from 1 species